ACUCUUUGCUGGGGUAGAGGAGGAGUGACGGGAGGCGGAAGUACGGGGAGAGUACCGGUGAGUCCGAGCGGAGUAGCGGUGUCUCGUGGAGUACCUGGAUGUAUCCGGGUCCUUGUGCCGUUACCUUCGAAUUGCCUAGCCACUGUGUUGACAGAGGGCCACCUGAAAUCGCUAAAUAUUCUAUUACCUGAAAGGUAAGCGUGUAGUUCUCCACAAGAUGUCCGUGAUACCUUUCUCCAAUAUAAGCCACUUUAGCGCGGAUAAAUGACUGAUUCCGCGUUAGGUGCUUCGGACAUCUACCAAGAUCAGUUAACCUCGGGCCCACACCCCAAAACAAACCAGUUCCUCCUGUGAAUCUCCCUACUGAAAUUUCCUGUUGUGGUACCACCCGAAAAGGGAGGGUCUAGUAAAUUUGUCUGUCAGCUCUAGCAUCACCUGAAAAUAAACCUCCAUGAAAAAGC